GACGAACGCUGGCGGCGUGCCUAAUACAUGCAAGUAGAACGCUGAAGAGAGGAGCUUGCUCUUCUUGGAUGAGUUGCGAACGGGUGAGUAACGCGUAGGUAACCUGCCUUGUAGCGGGGGAUAACUAUUGGAAACGAUAGCUAAUACCGCAUAACAAUGGAUGACCCAUGUCAUUUAUUUGAAAGGGGCAAAUGCUCCACUACAAGAUGGACCUGCGUUGUAUUAGCUAGUAGGUGUGGUAACGGCUCACCUAGGCGACGAUACAUAGCCGACCUGAGAGGGUGAUCGGCCACACUGGGAAUGAGACACGGCCCAGACUCCUACGGGAGGCAGCAGUAGGGAAACUUCGGCAAUGGGGGCAACCCUGACCGAGCAACGCCGCGUGAGUGAAGAAGGUUGUCGGAUCGUAAAGCUCUGUUGUAAGUCAAGAACGAGUGUGAGAGUGGAAAGUUCACACUGUGACGGUAGCUUACCAGAAAGGGACGGCUAACUACGUG
rnacentral:rRNA from 1 species